rnacentral:lncRNA from 1 species
GGAGUCAAGAGCCCUGACCUCCCAGGCUGCUGGAGGAUUUGAGAUCACGUCUGUACGUGCCCUGGACAGAGCCUGGCACAUACACGAAUGACAAUAAGAGCUACGUGGGAAGGACACCAAAAGGCACUCUUGGUGCCAAAGGAAAAUGGUGGCUGCACUGCUCCACUGGGCAUGCGAGACUUCGAGACGGUAAAGCUGAAGAUGCUGAGAAUCCUUCCCAGGAGUCCACUCGUGCCCCAGGUCGCCGUCCAGGGAAAGCUUUAAAACACCAGGCAAAACUGCCCUGGACCCUCCAAUGGACUGUUUCCAGCCCUGCCCUGGAGGGCCAUGAAGUGAAGAGUGGACGGAAACUCAGGAGAUUCCGACGUCCGCUCUCAGGACCCCACACUGUCGGGCUCACACCUUCGGCAGCAGGACCCAUUUCACAGUGUUCCAGUGCACAGAUGGCCACGUUUUCUUUACCUGCGCAUCGUCGAUGGACAGCUGAGUUGUUCCCGCUUUGGCGAUUGUGCGGACUGCCGCCAUGAACACGCACGAAUCAGUUUCUGUGUGGGUGUGCUUUCAGUCCUCCUGGGCACACUCAGGGAGUGGAAGUUACACUUGCCUUGUUGUUAAUAAUUCCAAUAUUGGAUGUGCCCCGUUUCACCUGCUGUGAGGUCUCCUUUCAUCUCUGGGACCCAGCUGGCUGCAGAGCCUUCCCCGCUGGGCAGGUGUGCCCCUGAGUCAGAGGAGGGGGUCCGGGGCAGGGCGCUUGGUGCUGCAGCCCCCUCCCCUGUCUGACGGCACAGCCACGCCCCCUUGCAGGGCUGUCACCAGCCUGGGAUGAGCCUGUGAAGGCGCCCAGCACACAGUAGGGCCACAGUUAACAGAGGUGACGCCUGCACGACAGACACAUUUGGUGUCAUUGUGGGUCCCUCUCUGCCUUUAGGAGAACCCCGCAUCCUUGCCUUUUGCAAAUGAAUGAGGAGGCAGGAGUGUGUGUGAAGACUCGUCCACGUGAGAGGAGAGGAGACAGCUGGCCCCAGUGGGCAAGGGGAAGAAACAGGUCCUUACAAUGCAAUUUUUAUUUGAGAAAAAUAACAAAACCCCAAACCCGACCACUUCCUGCCCCCUGCCUACCAGACUGGCAGCCGCUCCGCCCUCAUCCCUCC